UCUCAGUUUAAAUCAUUAAUGCAAUCUGUUCUAAGGCAACACAAUAUUACUGUAACAUAGUUUAAUCUGUAUAAUGUUGGAUAAUAUUUUAGCAAAAUGUCAAAAUGCACAGUUAACUUUAGACAUAUGUGUUCAGAACAAUAACUAUGAAAUCACUAUGGAUUUUACAAAUACUUAAUAAAAACCUGAACCGGAAUACGUUAACUUUAAUCAUAAAAAAGCGCAACAGUUGUCAAAACUCACAUGUGAACAACAUAAUGUGGUAGUGCGAAUUAUCGGAAGUGAAAAUGCAUAAACAGGAAAACAUGCUUGACAGUCCUGGAUCAAGGUCUCCAAGAACGCCGCACAGAUCACCUAGGCAACAUCGAAAGCUAACUCUUCCAACUGAGUUUCAAGACGAUUUAGAGCAUUCAGUAUUGCUUAGAAAGUUAACAACAAUGGAAGACGGGAAAAGCGACGAGUGUCAGUUUAGAAACAUUAGAGGCUCACGAUGGUGAGAGUUCGAAAAUAAUGAAUCGACUGAAAAUCUUGACAAUUCAUGCCUUUGGAAGGCAAAGAGAAUUUUUAAAAGCUGUUUACAAAGGAGCUAGAUC